rnacentral:rRNA from 1 species
AACGAACGCUGGCGGCAUGCCUAACACAUGCAAGUCGAACGAACCCUUCGGGGUUAGUGGCGCACGGGUGCGUAACACGUGGAAUCUGCCCUUUGCUUCGGAAUAACAGUUAGAAAUGACUGCUAAUACCGGAUGAUGUCGUAAGACCAAAGAUUUAUCGGCAAAGGAUGAGCCCGCGUAGGAUUAGGUAGUUGGUGGGGUAAAAGCCUACCAAGCCGACGAUCCUUAGCUGGUCUGAGAGGAUGAUCAGCCACACUGGGACUGAGACACGGCCCAGACUCCUACGGGAGGCAGCAGUGGGAAUAUUGGACAAUGGGCGGAAGCCUGAUCCAGCAAUGCCGCGUGAGUGAUGAAGGCCUU